GGCCUGAUGCUUUUACUUGAAGCAGCUGAUAUGCAGAGAGGGCACUGGAAGGACUUGCCCUAAGGCACAGCCUGGUUCCUUGCAGGCCAAAGAAUUGCCUUGGAGGGCUGCAUAAACCACCAAGCACUCUAGGCCGGAUGGAACACGCUAGCACAAAUGCAAAAGGUCACCUUGGACUGGGCCGAGCUGGUGAAUGCCAAUGAGCUGGAGCUCCCUGAAACCUCGGCUUAUGCAUGUCAGGCAGCUAACAUCACCAUUGGGCGCAGGCCUCCACCUCUGCAGCCCACGCUGACCCACGUAGAAAGGGUUUGCCUCACUGAGGGACCCCUUCAGAAUUGUUCACAUGGGAACCUGUCCAUCCAGGGUUCUCAACCUGCUAAAAGCUCUGGCCAGGCCCUUUUGCAAAUUAGCUUUUUUUCUGCAUAUAACCAUCUACAGAUUAGGUUUUUCCCUCCCUGACAUGAGGAAAAACAAUAACAGGGAGGCUCACGAAACUGCAGAAUCAUGGAACACAGCUCUCAGUGCCCUUUCUACAGACACACCCUCUCAGCUCCACGCAGGAGUCCAAUUCUUCACUGCUCCCAGGGCUUUUUGCCCAGAAGUGAACUUGAAAGAAGUAGGAACAUAAAGAUCCACAUGUCAACAGGUCUACAGAACAUCCUCAGAAUGUCAUUAGAAUGGGAGGCCCAACACCCCCUAAAUGCUAACAUCUCCACCCCAAUCCCAUUGCAUUGGCCCAAGUCAGUAGAGAACUUGAACUUCUACUAAAAUGCACACCUUCCUUGGAAAGAUUUCCCUCCUGGUUAAGUAUCAGCAUCUCUCUGGGAGUCUGUAGUGUGUAGAGAGACUGCGUACAUUCAAAUCCAGGUUCCAGCACUUACUAAUUAGGUGAACUUGGUGUGUUCUUGAACUCCCCUCAGCCUCAGUGUCUCCAUCAGUAAAAUGGAACUUAUAACAAUAUCUACCUCAUAGGAUGCUGUGUGGAUUAAUCAAGUCAACUCAUAUAAAGUGCUU
rnacentral:lncRNA from 1 species